UAUAAACAAAUGAUACUUAAAAACCACAUGAAAAGAUGCUCAACAUCACUAGUCAUUAGGGAAAUGCAAAUCAAACUACAAUGAGAGACCACACCCCUUAGAAUCAAUUAAAAAAAAAACAAAAAACAGAAACUAACAAGUGUCUGGUGAGGAUAUGGAGAAACUGGAACUCUUUUGCUUUGGGGGUUCCCUCAAAGCACAAAUGUAAUGGAAAUGUAGCAGAAGUGUAGAAUGGGGCAGCCACGGCAGAAAAUGGCAUGGUGGUUCCUCAAAAAAUUAAACAUAGAAUUCCCAUAUGAUCCAUAAAUUCUAUUUCUGGGUAUAUACUCAAAAUAACUCAAAGCAGGGUCUCAAAGAGGUGGUUGUACACCCAUCUUUAUAACAGCAUUAUUUACAAUAGCCAAAUGUCUUAUCAAGACAAAUGGAGGAACAAAAUGAGGUAUAUUCAUACAAUAGUGUUAUUCAGGCUUUAGAAGGAGGGAAAUUCUGACACAUACAAUAACAAAAUGAACUUUGAGGACAUUGUGCAGAGUGAAAUAAACCAGACACAAAAGGACAAAUACUGUGUGAUUCCAUUUAUAUGGGGUAUCUAGAAGAGUCAAAUUCAGAAGCAAAGUAAACAGUGGUUCCCACAGGCUGGAGGUGGUGGGGAAAGAGGAGUUAGUGUUUAAUGGGUACAGAGCUUCAGUUAGGGAAGAUGAAAACGUUUUCUGGAGAGGGAUGGGGGUGAUGGUUGUGCAAUAAUUGUAAGGAACUUAAAGUCCUUGAACUGUACACUUAAAGUGCUCACGAUGGUGAAAUUUAGGUUCUGUAUAUUUCUAUAUAUUUCUCUAUUUCUAUUGGGGCACUAGGACCGGCUACAUAAUUUGAAGGCCUGCCCAGUGCAAAAUAAAAAUGGAGGAGCCCUUGUUCCAAAAUGUUUAAGAAUUUCAAGAGGGUGACAGCAGGGCAUUAAACUGAAUGCAGAGUCCUUUGGAGCACUACCCAGGUCAUCCUCCAUGAAACCGAGUGCAGAGUCCUUUGGAGCAUCCCCCAUGAGCACAGGGUCCUUUGGAGCACUACCCAGGUCAUCCCUCAUGAAGCCAGCCCAGCUGGGAGGUAUGUAACAGUUAGUUUUCUGUGUCAACUUACCAGGCUACAGUACCAAGUUAUUUAAUCAAACACCCAUCUCCGUGUUGUUGUGAAGAUAUUUUGUAGAUGUGGUUAACAAUCAGUUGACUUUAAGUAAAAUAAAUUAUCCUUGAUACUGUGAGUGGAUCCUAUGAAAUCAGUUAAAAGGCCUUAAAAUCAAAAAUCUAGGUUUUCAGGAGAAGAUGAAAUUCUGCCUCAAGGCCACAGCACUAACUCAGCCUGAGUUUCCAGUCUUUGGGGCUGCCCUACGGAUUUCGGGCUUGCAAGAUUAUAAUCGUGAGCUAAUUCCUAGAAAUAACUCUCUUAAUAGAAAUAUAUAUUGGUUCUGUUUCUCUGAAGAACCCUGACUGAUACAUAAGAAAAGAAAUGGAUUGGUGAAGUUAAUAAAAACAAAAGCACAGCAGGCUUUGAAAAUCAUCAAGUCCAAAUCACCUGGUUGUUCUGCAUAUGAGGAAACCAAGGCUCAGAGAAGUGAUGAAACUUGUCCAGUGUCACACAGCAAGUUAGGAAAGGCGGUGUCUUCACACUUCUCCAUCAAAGAGUGCCUGGUAGCCGUGUGUUUUCUAUAGCUUAUAUUUUAAUUUCUAAACGUCUAUGAAUUUUGCAUUCUAUUCCAUUAUAUAAUUGUGUUUUCCAUUUUUAAGUAGUGUUUUAUUUUCCAAAUCGUUUUCCCUAACAUUUCUGCUCUAGGAAGGAGUGCCACGCCUGUUCCGCGGACUUCUGACCCCGCACACCAACCCGAUGGAAGUAGUGAAGACAGUAGGGACGCACAGCACAGUGACUGAAGCCUGAAACCCUGAGGCUCAGUAAAACUUCAAUUCCUAGAAGCCUAAGGCAAUCGAAUGUUCUCGAAAUAGACCUUCCAGAAUCAAUGCAAUUUUCGGUUCAGCUUUUAGAUGCGUAUAAGAUACUCUUUCUUUGCUGUGGGAUUUUUCUGGUGCUUGAGAUCUUCUUUCCCGAGCGUUCUCCUUGCAGAGAUCUUUUGAUAUGGAGCGGCGUGCACGCAGCCCCUAGGUUGGGCGCUGAGGGGCAUCGCUGAUGCGAUCCACGUGCCUCCCCGUCCUCAGGCCGCUUCCUUUCCUGGUUUCCAGGUCCUCGUUUCUCCCAGCGCUGCCCUCCCCAUCUAAGCCCAAGUCGCCGUGAGCCCGCGCUGCCCCCUUGUGGCCAAAGCCCUCCCCAGCUCAGGAAACGGGAACGCUUGGCGGCCAGGCUGAGAGUCGGUGCGCGUGACCCGGCUUCUGCUCGCAGCAUCCAAGAAGUUGCAAUAACGUGGAAGGAUGGGGAACGGCGCCUCCCUGGCUAGCGUGAAACUCAGCCACAGCACAAAAUUGAGGCUGUUGGCCGUGAGCGGCUCUCAAAGCUGAAUUUGAGGUAAGAAGUCGCCUGCCAACAGGGCAUGCGCAAAUCUCACCAUGUAGAGUGAGUGGCUUUCCGGCAGCUUCUCCCCUCCAGGCGGCCACCUGGCCCCACACUCCUCAGGUGCAGGGCCGAGGAAGGGAGGGGUCCAGCUGAGCUCUGAGCGUCCCAGGGGAUACAGCACCUGACCACCACUCAGAAAGCCCCCCCAAAAAUACAAAGACAGAGAAUUGAAGACAGAUGCCACCUCACUUGACUAGUGGGGAUUGGGUGGGGAUAGCCCAACAUCGGCAGAGCCAACCUGGCCACCUACAUGGGAGGGUCCCCGGGGUAAGAUGUGGCUUUGUGACCUAAGGAAGGCGGGUAGGUCGGGCUGACGGGGGAGAGGGGCCAGUGAAGCCCCCAUCCCUAGGGACACAGUUCAGCUGAAGGAAUCUCACUCUGGGCCUUCACAGGGUUAGCAUCCUGUCGGCCCCUGCGCGGGGCCGGGGGGGCGGGGAUUCAGGUGGCCCCUGGUGGCAGCUGUCUUAACCCAGGCGAGGCACACAGGAGGACACCAAGCCCUGGUCUCCAACCUCAACCCUGCACAGCCUGCUAGUCCCACGCUAAAGUGAUUGAGGAAUGGCACAGAGACGGGAGCGAACCCCCAGGGAGGCACCAGCCAUGCUAAAAUACUUACCUUGGACAUAAGCUAAGCUUUAAGUUUGUUGUUUAUAACUUCAAAGAGAGACAAGGGACAGUGACUUAAGAAUAUUCUAAGCUAUAAAUUUACAUGUGGACUUUGCUACACACCUGGGAUGCAGCCAGAUGAGUUUUGUUCCAUUGCAGUACAUCUGAUGACCAGAAUUCUAUCAGAGAAUGUUAAUGAACGAAAAGCCUGAGCUUUAAGACUGAGAUUGGUACCACGGGUAGUCAUGGCCACCUGCUGGCAGCGUAGGGUACUGCAGCCCAGCUAUGGUUCAGACUAAAAGCCGAGAAACGCCUGUGGUCCAGGGAAAGGUAUGAAGAUCAUAUAAACCGGCGGUGGACAGGAAAUGCCACAGUCAAGAAGAUGCCCCUGGGAUGCUGAGCUCUUACAACUCGAAAUCAACAGCUUUUACAAAUAAAACCGCUGCAAAAGCAAUAGCUCUUACAAAUAAAACUGAUAAUUUGGACUUCUGGGCACCAAAUGUUUUCAUAACGAAAACAUCAAUUAUGCAUUAUAAUACCAAGUACACCUUACACUUACUGAUUCUUCUCCUUAACUUUCAGUGUAUUCCUUUAGGAGAUUGUCGCACCUUGGUCAGAAUACAUCGACAGUUUUAUAAUAGAACAGAAAAGCUUCCAUUUGCAGCAAUAUAUUUUAGUUGGCUUGUUGAAACACAUCUCUCUUCCUGAAAGCAAGCAAUUCUUGAAGUGGAUCAACCUUGUCAUCAUAUCCCUUUUAUUCUUCACCCUUUUAUUCUUCACUGGUAUGACAGUCCCUAUACCAUCUUAGCCACUGCUUUUUUGUUUCUACUUAUUUUCCAUCCCCCCUGCCUGCCCCCCAUAGCAAAAUGAAGGCAUGCCGGGAAGCAGCAACUCAACAUAAAAAGAGGACCCUCCAAGCGAUCAGCUCACAAGACAGUUUUAUUGAAUUAGUUGCAUGCAGGAGCAAUUCUGUUCUUCCCAUGAGCAGCAGAGUCGAGUGUUAGAGUGCAGGAUCCAGAGCGGGGAGAGGCUGGGCGGAGUUGGGGGCCUGGA
rnacentral:lncRNA from 1 species